rnacentral:lncRNA from 1 species
GGAAACCCUAAUCUCUUAAGACAAAGGUGACAUCUCUUCUUCAGCUACUCGCCGUCAAAUCUGCAAUGUCAGUCGUCGACAGCAAGUCGCCCAUGCCAAUUAGGGUAAAAUCGGGGUUAGAGCUGUGUAUUGGAGCCUUGUUAUUGGUUCUCGCAUAUGGUAUUUCCUUUAAAGAAUUUGCAUACCCAAAUUUAAUUGCUUCAAAUUUCAAAUUUGUAAAUGCUUCUCGGAGAUUUUGUUAUCUCGUAAUGGGAAAUUUAAAGCAAUUAUGUUCAAUCCUAGUGCGCAGCAAAUCAGAUUCUACUUGUGCGUUAUCCACUUGGAAUCCAACACCAUUAUCUUUUUUUGCAAAUCGUGAUACGCCCGUUUCAAAUUCAGGGAUCAUGGUUUGACUGCGAAUGGUAUAGUUCCUACAUAAGGUUUGUUAGCCAACCCCCAUUAUCAACUCCAAUAAAUCAUCAAUAUUUUUUUUCCCUCGCUUAUAAUUAUGUUAUCUUUGAAUCUCUUAAGCUAUUGCCUCGUUUUGGUAUUCGUCAUAUUGUCCCUUCGAACUGACAGGGAAGUACUUUUUGUUUCUUAAGGAGAUUCCAACUUCCUACAUUUGUUUGUUUCUUUAAU